GCCUCGGUAGUGUAAUGGAUCAGCACGGCAGACCGGAUAUCUGUGAGUGCGGGUUUGAGUCCCGCCUGAGGUU
rfam:Dictyocaulus viviparus strain HannoverDv2000 D_viviparus-1.0_Cont377.19, whole genome shotgun sequence.